AAGCACUCCCCCAUCCCACAGGUCUGCAGCGACUGCACCAGUUGCUCGAGCUCUUCCCACUACAGGAGCUCAGAACUGACAAGAACCCUGACCAAAGCAGUAACUCCUGGUUCUGCUGGUGCACCUCUUGUACCUGGAGCUGGCUCUCCAUCUGGCUGAGACGUCAUCUUUAACACUUCAAAACAAGCCUAAGGAGAAAAGAUUUUGGUGAUGUGACAUGAAAACAGACAGCACAAAUAUAGACCAGGAUGACAGAAGAUGUGCACGCUGGGUGUUGAAUAUCAUUUGGAAACCAAACCACAGUUACUUGACAGUCCAGGAAAUUUUUCACAGCUGAGCCAUUGUGUUUUCUUCAGAAGUUAGAAAUAAGAUUGGCAGAUUCAUGUCCGUAUUCACCCACGCAGCAAAGUACGGGAAGAACUGCAUUAUUUCAUCCCACUCUUCAUGCAUGUUCAAAAUAGUUGAUGGGUGAAGGAAUGCUGGCUGGUUUUACGCUAAGAAAAAAGCUUCCACAAGUUCACAUCCAGUACAGUGAGUACACUUUUAUUUUUGCUAGAUGGUCUGCUGGUUUCUCCAGUCUUCUUAUGUAACACGAGGGAACAUUUUGUUUGAAUUUCUGUAACUGCCUAUUUUCUGUGUUCAGAGGAGUAGAUUCCCUUACAUAUGGGGUAUUUUUAACUGGGUAAUGUAACUCAGAGUAAUAACACAUAAAAACAAUCUUCUGUGUUGGCUGUUUGAAAGAAAGCUGUUUGUUCAUUAGAUAUGUUAGAAACAUAAUAAUCCCAUUUGGUAGUUAGUUUUUCAUCAGACUGUGA